rnacentral:rRNA from 1 species
GAUGUAGGGGGCCAGCGUUGUUCGGAAUUACUGGGUGUAAAGGGUUCGUAGGCGGUGCGGCAAGUUGGGAGUGAAAUCUCUGGGCUUAACCCAGAGGCUGCUUCCAAAACUGCUGUGCUUGAGUGUGGGAGAGGCGCGUGGAAUUGCAGGUGUAGCGGUGAAAUGCGUAGAUAUCUGCAGGAACACCCGUGGCGAAAGCGGCGCGCUGGACCACUACUGACGCUGAGGAACGAAAGCUAGGGGAGCAAACAGG